AGCCUAUUAGCUCAAAAUGGUAGAGCAAUGUGUUGUUAUACAAAGAUGUAGGUUCAAGUCCUACAUAGGCUG
rnacentral:tRNA from 1 species